CAGCAGCCGCGGGAAUACGAAGGGGGCUAGCGUUGUUCGGAAUUACUGGGCGUAAAGCGCACGUAGGCGGAUAUUUAAGUCAGGGGUGAAAUCCCGCAGCUCAACUGCGGAACUGCCUUUGAUACUGGGUAUCUUGAGUAUGGAAGAGGUUAGUGGAAUUGCGAGUGUAGAGGUGAAAUUCGUAGAUAUUCGCAGGAACACCAGUGGCGAAGGCGGCUAACUGGUCCAUAACUGACGCUGAGGUGCGAAAGCGUGGGGAGCAAACAGGAUUAGAUACCCGUGUAGUCCCUGUCUCUUAUAC
rnacentral:rRNA from 1 species